rnacentral:rRNA from 1 species
AGUGAACGCUGGCGGUAGGCCUAACACAUGCAAGUCGAACGGCAGCACAGUAAGAGCUUGCUCUUACGGGUGGCGAGUGGCGGACGGGUGAGGAAUACAUCGGAAUCUACUUUUUCGUGAGGGAUAACGUAGGGAAACUUACGCUAAUACCGCAUACGACCUACGGGUGAAAGCAGGGGAUCUUCGGACCUUGCGCGAUUGAAUGAGCCGAUGUCGGAUUAGCUAGUUGGCGGGGUAAAGGCCCACCAAGGCGACGAUCCGUAGCUGGCCUGAGAGGAUGAUCAGCCACACUGGAACUGAGACACGGUCCAGACUCCUACGGGAGGCAGCAGUGGGGAAUAUUGGACAAUGGGCGCAAGCCUGAUCCAGCCAUACCGCGUGGGUGAAGAAGGCCUUCGGGUUGUAAAGCCCUUUUGUUGGGAAAGAAAAGCAGCAGGUUAAUACCCCGCUGUUCUGACGGUACCCAAAGAAUAAGCACCGGCUAACUUCGUG